UACGAAGGGGGCUAGCGUUGUUCGGAAUUACUGGGCGUAAAGGGCGCGUAGGCGGUACUUCAAGUCAGGCGUGAAAGCCCCGGGCUCAACCUGGGAACCGCGCUUGAGACUGGAGAACUAGAGUUCGGGAGAGGAUGGUGGAAUUCCCAGUGUAGAGGUGAAAUUCGUAGAUAUCGAGAGGAACACCGGUGGCGAAGGCGGCUAUCUGGACAGUGACUGACGCUGAGACGCGAAAGCGUGGGGAGCAAACAGG
rnacentral:rRNA from 1 species